UACGGGGGGGGCAAGCGUUGUUCGGAAUUACUGGGCGUAAAGGGCUCGUAGGCGGCCAACUAAGUCAGACGUGAAAUCCCUCGGCUUAACCGGGGAACUGCGUCUGAUACUGGAUGGCUUGAGGUGGGGAGAGGGAUGCGGAAUUCCAGGUGUAGCGGUGAAAUGCGUAGAUAUCUGGAGGAACACCGGUGGCGAAGGCGGGUCUCUGGGCCAUUACUGACGCUGAGGAGCGAAAGCGUGGGGAGCGAACAGG
rnacentral:rRNA from 1 species